GUUGUUGGGUAGGGGAGCGUUCUGUAAGCCUGUGAAGGUGUGUCGUGAGGCAUGCUGGAGGUAUCAGAAGUGCGAAUGCUGACAUAAGUAACGAUAAAGCGGGUGAAAAGCCCGCUCGCCGGAAGACCAAGGGUUCCUGUCCAACGUUAAUCGGGGCAGGGUGAGUCGACCCCUAAGGCGAGGCCGAAAGGCGUAGUCGAUGGGAAACGGGUUAAUAUUCCCGUACUUGGUGUUACUGCGAAGGGGGGACGGAGAAGGCUAUGUUGGCCGGGCGACGGUUGUCCCGGUUUAAGCGUGUAGGUGUGUGUUCCAGGUAAAUCCGGUUCACUUUAACACUGAGGCGUGACGACGAGGCACUACGGUGCUGAAGCAACAAAUGCCCUGCUUCCAGGAAAAGCCUCUAAGCAUCAGGUAACAUCAAAUCGUACCCCAAACCGACACAGGUGGUCAGGUAGAGAAUACCAAGGCGCUUGAGAGAACUCGGGUGAAGGAACUAGGCAAAAUGGUGCCGUAACUUCGGGAGAAGGCACGCUGACAUGUAGGUGAAGUGAUUUACUCAUGGAGCUGAAGUCAGUCGAAGAUACCAGCUGGCUGCAACUGUUUAUUAAAAACACAGCACUGUGCAAACACGAAAGUGGACGUAUACGGUGUGACGCCUGCCCGGUGCCGGAAGGUUAAUUGAUGGGGUCAGCGCAAGCGAAGCUCCUGAUCGAAGCCCCGGUAAACGGCGGCCGUAACUAUAACGGUCCUAAGGUAGCGAAAUUCCUUGUCGGGUAAGUUCCGACCUGCACGAAUGGCGUAAUGAUGGCCAGGCUGUCUCCACCCGAGACUCAGUGAAAUUGAACUCGCUGUGAAGAUGCAGUGUACCCGCGGCAAGACGGAAAGACCCCGUGAACCUUUACUAUAGCUUGACACUGAACAUUGAGCCUUGAUGUGUAGGAUAGGUGGGAGGCUUUGAAGUGUGGACGCCAGUCUGCAUGGAGCCGACCUUGAAAUACCACCCUUUAAUGUUUGAUGUUCUAACGUGGACCCGUUAUCCGGGUUGCGGACAGUGUCUGGUGGGUAGUUUGACUGGGGCGGUCUCCUCCUAAAGAGUAACGGAGGAGCACGAAGGUUGGCUAAUCCUGGUCGGACAUCAGGAGGUUAGUGCAAUGGCAUAAGCCAGCUUGACUGCGAGCGUGACGGCGCGAGCAGGUGCGAAAGCAGGUCAUAGUGAUCCGGUGGUUCUGAAUGGAAGGGCCAUCGCUCAACGGAUAAAAGGUACUCCGGGGAUAACAGGCUGAUACCGCCCAAGAGUUCAUAUCGACGGCGGUGUUUGGCACCUCGAUGUCGGCUCAUCACAUCCUGGGGCUGAAGUAGGUCCCAAGGGUAUGGCUGUUCGCCAUUUAAAGUGGUACGCGAGCUGGGUUUAGAACGUCGUGAGACAGUUCGGUCCCUAUCUGCCGUGGGCGCUGGAGAACUGAGGGGGGCUGCUCCUAGUACGAGAGGACCGGAGUGGACGCAUCACUGGUGUUCGGGUUGUCAUGCCAAUGGCACUGCCCGGUAGCUAAAUGCGGAAGAGAUAAGUGCUGAAAGCAUCUAAGCACGAAACUUGCCCCGAGAUGAGUUCUCCCUGAGACUUAGAGUCUCCUGAAGGAACGUUGAAGACGACGACGUUGAUAGGCCGGGUGUGUAAGCGCAGCGAUGCGUUGAGCUAACCGGUACUAAUGAA
rnacentral:rRNA from 1 species